rnacentral:lncRNA from 1 species
CUGAGGUCAAUUCUGAUCACAUUUAUACUUGGGAGUAAAUCUGCUAAUACUGUUUGCCAUUCCUCCAUGUGGAAAACAGCUUUUAUAAUCUGAAUUGCAUUGCUGAGGCAGAAGCAGUAUUAAACCUGAAAAAAGUUGAAGCAAAGCAGUAAAUAUGUUUGCCCUGUGGGUUCAUGCCUUGGUGUGGAGAAAGAUGAUUUCCCAGCUGUUAAGCCCAGGGAACUGCGGAUGCCCCUGCAGCUCGGCUGUGACCCACACGCCCUACAUCAUCUUUGUGUAGACACGAAUGCAGGAAUUAGGAGACAGAGGAAG